ensembl:lncRNA
GUUUUUCUGCUAAUGCAGCACUGUCCUCACAACCCCCUCCUGUAAGUUUUAGAGAAUAUAUACCCAUCCUCACAGCAAAUAUUUGGAAUCUCUUGAUGUGAGCUGCGUUGAGAGUUUGUCUCUGUCUCAAUAAAAGUUCACUGAUUCCCCAUCUGCAGCAGGUGUCCGGUUGUCUUCAUUCUCCGCCAGCCUGGUUAAGUCAAUUCCUCCUUAACAUCUAAAAGAACCUAUUUAAUGAAGGAAGACGGGUUCACUUUGUGUUUAAUAUUAUUCUAUUGCUGUUGUUGUUUUUUUUGUAUCCUUCAAUUGGCGUCACGAACAGGAUCCGCUCCAGGUCAAACUGGAACGGGAGGGAGGACAUCGGCCGUGGUCUGAGUGAACGGAGUUUGGACAAAAGCUGUGUACACACAAAAAACAAGUGUCUUCAUACAGGUGUUUUUUCUUAACCUGGAAGCCUGAGUACGGCAGCAGAAGACAGGCCAAGCUUUGGCUAAAAUUCACGGCUGGACACCAGAGUUGUCCUCACCCCUCCCGGUAAAACAAAAAAGAGAGAAUGUAGUUUGAGGCGGGUUUUUCUUGCUGAACCGCUCUGGGUGCUGUGUCCCUGAAUCUCACCGGUGUUAACCUCUGGCGGAAGACAUGGAGAAAAGGAAAAGAUGUUCCUGGUAAAUCACUGAAACAAAUAAAACCACACACAACCAGAGAAAGAUAUGAGAAGGGUGAGGAACAGACACAUGUGCGUGUUAGAGACAUGCCUCGUUUGAGAAAAAGUUAAAGUAACCCAUAUACAGACGCACCCAUACAUGCAAUGAAGAAACAGCUUACAUACAUGUGCACGUACAUGCAAGGUUAAAGUAGCGACACUUAACAUACACCUGUUUUUAAAUGAUAUAGUUUAUACAUUACUGACAAUUAAACGCUUUGGGUUGCAGGACAACAACGUAACGUUAAAAGACAAAGACACUGGUCUGAGGAUUAAGUGAGGACACGACAAAUUUAGUGGUUAAAAGGGUCGACUUGGGACAUGUUUUUGUUGAUUGUUUAAGACAAAUGACUACUGAAUGAUAGGAAAUUCCUUUUUAGGUUUCUAAACAGGAUCUUAAGAAUUUUAACACGUACCUGUGUUGUCCUGUCAACUUGAGGGGUUAGGAGUUGAUUAUAUGGUGAAAAAAAAAAAAAAAAAAAAAAAAAAAAACAAAAACAAAAAAGGGGGGAGACGAGAUCUCGUUGUUUCUCCCCUCUCGGGAUAACACAGCCAACACAGCACAGCCAACACAACAUCAUUUUCCUGUUCGCCUGUUUUGUUUUGUUUUUGUUUUUUCUGAGAGCCGAAGCUGACCUGGACUCCUACCCUCCCCUCUACCAUCGUUGCCCUCUCCGCGACCAUCUUUGACCCUUUGACCCCUGAAGGCCACAGCAGCUGGACUCACAACAACAACUUGAGGAUGUCAACAGUGCUGCAAAAGAGUGAUCUCAUGCAGCAGAGACGGAGAGCACUAAACCUAAAGCCCGUUUCACUACACGGGGGAAAUUCCCAGGCUGCGUCAGCUGACAGAGCUGUGACGAGACGCGCAUUAAGCCCGGAGGAAAAGGGACGGUGAGCAGAAGGAUGCUGACCUCUGAGAAGAGCCGAACAGCAGAGCUGCAGAAGGCCGUGGAGCAAAGUAAGGAAGAUGCAGGCAGCUGCAACAACGGAUGAAAACAGACCCAAAGAGGAGGGGAGGACCCUAGGCCAUGCGUCAGGCCGCUGGUUUACCUAAACUACAGAACAGAAAGGUUGUUGCUCUUUAACUCCUAGAACACGCCCUUGGCGAGGUGGGGGGAACUGGACCACCUUUCUGUGCCCCAUCAUCCUCUAUUAGACGACAUCCAAGCUAAGUAAACAUGUCUUGGCCCUUUCCCCCUGAAAUGACAGGCAGGCAAAGAUGUUGCGUAUUUGUUUGCUUCCUGGCCCUGGGUCUCAUUCCCAUUGGCAUAAUCCUGAUCUGUGAAGGGCCCCCGACACUUAUGACACCUUCAAGUUCAAAAGCUUCGCCCCCUUCUGACAGUCCCAAUCUGACAAAUGUAGCCCCUAGGGUCUUGCCCACCACUUCCUCUCCAGUUUUACCAUAUUCACUUUUGAAUGUCCUUAGCAGUUACCGUUCUGAGUUUAUUUUACGGUUGAUUUAUUCUUUCACAUUUUCACGUUUAUAUCUCUCAUUAUUAUAGUAUACUCUGUACUCUCCACAUUUUUAUCAUUACUUAUGCUUUUUGGUUGCUGAGUUACAGGAACUGUUAAUUUUGUGUCACUACCCUGGUUGCACUAACUCGUUGUACCCUUGUGUGCAGGACAGCUGUUACUGCUUUCAUCGGGAACCGAGACUGCUUGCAGCCGACCCCUGGGCAGGGUGGUGCCUGGACUCUUUUCUCCUCAUCUGCAAUGACAGAUAAAGACAAAUGAAAAGACCCGAGGAGUUUUUCGAGCCAGGCUUCGACACGUCUCUGUGUUCCUUUGAUUGUUACUUAUUUUUGUGUGUUGACCCAUUUAAGAUGGGUCAAAAGGGGGAUUUGAAGAAAAUAUAAUCUGAUCAAACAUUAUUCAGCUUUAAAUAUUGUUCAGCUUUAAACAUUAUUCAGCUUUAAAUAUUGUUCAGCUUUAAACAUUAUUCAGCUUUAAAUAUUGUUC